GGAUCCAGAUUGGACUGAGUGGAGACGAGGCCCUGUGGCUGAAUAAAGGUACCUAGAAACAAGAUCUUUCCCUAGGUGUACUCCUGCGCUACGGAAAGCCAGACUGUGGAGGGCUACCAGAGAGAGAGAAUGGUGACCAUCUGGAGCUAAGAAGUUUCUUCGUCAUGUAAUCACCGUGAUGACAUCAUUCACAAGUGGCAGAACAUAGGAAAGCCUUUAUCUUUUACUCCACAAGGUGGGCAUAACAAAUGGCAUGUUAAAAUGAAAACACAUUCUGUACACUGAGAGAAGAUGCUGCUGCUAA